rnacentral:RNase_P_RNA from 1 species
UUGGUCAGACGAUCGCUUGCGGGGCAACCCGCAGGAGGAAAGUCCGAACACGACAGGACACGAUGGUGGCUAACGACCACCGGCCCCGGCGCAGGGGUCAGGGACAGUGCCACAGAAAACAAACCGCCACCGCAAGGUGGUAAGGGUGAAACGGUGCGGUAAGAGCGCACCGCUCCUCUGGUGACAGAGGAGGCAGGGCAAACCCCAUCGCGUGCAAGCGCAAGCAGCCCCCGCCGCAAGGCACCUGUUGUCCGCAGGAUGGGGCGGGUCGCGUGCUCCGAGCUGUCCGGCAACGGCAGCCUGAGAGAAAUGAUCGUCGCCCGCAAGGGAACAGAAUUCGGCUUACGACCAGAUCU